CCAGGACACACAACUGGAAAAGGAAAGGUUUCUGGCAGGGAACAUCUUCAGGUGAUCCCAUUGCAUCUGAGGAGAUGUAGCCCUGCUACCAGGUGGAGGUCAGGAGCUGCCCUGCACCUUUCCCUCCCGGGCGCUGCUCCUGCCAGCGUCUGCACGUCUGCCAGCCACGGCCCUUCCAAAGGAGCGAUAACAGGAGUUAGGUGCCUGGAGCAAACUAACGUCCUUCCACAGUCAUGAAAUGCAACAAAGGGACCCUGAUUCAGAGGGCAAGGUGAGGUUUGCAGUCUCUAUGGAAACUGAAGAACGACCUAAUGAAAGGCCAGACAAGGAAGCAACAAUGCAGGAUACACUACAUUUAUCCUGAGAGUCAGAGCGCAGGCCCCACUCUGGCCCCUGGCACCUACUGGAAGAGCCCGAAGACCUUGUGCAGGUCAAUACAAUACAAUUUUAAACUACAUAGAUUUUGCUCUGAAACUAACUUCUUUAAUACCGACAAGUUCCAAGAAACCUUUCACUAAAUGGAUCCAGCCAUGACCCUCCCCACCAGAGCCCAUGGGAGCGUGGCCAGCGUGGGAGAGGCUUGGACACAGCCGGAUGUCAGCAGUCACAGUUGAGACUACACUGCGUAGAGGAGGUUAUGCUUUCAUGUCAUUUUUAAUGAGCCUGAAAAUAACAUCUACCAUAACCUCCAACAUCUCUUUCAACAUCUCUUUCUAACACUUCUUAAACCAUAGCAGUCUCUGAAGAACAUCUGCUCUCCUCAGUAAUUUAGCAUCUUGCUCUCCUCACCUCCGACCAUUCCCCUGCUGAAGCACUUCCAUUUUUUGUUAGUGCUGCUGCUUCAAAACUCUGUCAGGGUCCUUCCUUUCACCUGCUGAGAAUUGCCAUCUUGGCAAAUCAGCCGUGCCACACUGCCUGCAAGGCUGCUGGUGCAGCUGUGCUGGCCACAGGUUGAACCACAAGGAGCCCUGCUGCAGCAGGUCUUGCCUGGGUAACUCACGCCACUACGGACUGCGCACACACACACAGCAGAUACGUAUUGACACGGAUACACUGUUGCCUAAAAUCCCACGGGAGACAUCACCUUAAAUUUAUAUACAAACAUUAUAUGUUUUAUGAUAGAUUCUGUAUAUAAAACAUUACAUCUUGCUGAA